UACGAAGGGGGCUAGCGUUGUUCGGAUUUACUGGGCGUAAAGCGCACGUAGGCGGAUUGGUCAGUUAGAGGUGAAAUCCCGAAGCUCAACUUCGGAACUGCCUUUAAUACUGCCAGUCUAGAGCCUCGGAAGAGGUAAGUGGAACUCCUAGUGUAGAGGUGGAAUUCGUAGAUAUUAGGAAGAACACCAGUGGCGAAGGCGGCUUACUGGUCCGGUACUGACGCUGAGGUGCGAAAGCGUGGGGAGCAAACAGG
rnacentral:rRNA from 1 species